rnacentral:piRNA from 1 species
UGAACUUGAGAUAAUGCUGCCAUUG